rnacentral:lncRNA from 1 species
GGGAUUUAUUGACUUAUAAAUGUCCUCACUGAUUCACAAAGGCCCAGGCUCUCUUGGGAAGUUUUCCAAACGUUGCUGACAAGUCAGACACUAUUACACAGGUUCAUUGUCCUCACUAAACUGGUAGGAAGACAAGUAAAAUUAUAUCACCCAGGCACAAGGAGAAAGAAAAGAAGCAGAGGUGGCCUGGGGGGAUUCUUAUUGGGGUUUGGAGACCAGAGGUGCCCUUCCAUACAGGGGUAGAGUGGAUUCUAGACUCAGGUCUCAGAAGGCUGUGGUCCCAUCAUCUGCUCCGUGAUCCCCCCUUCCUAAGUUCCCAGCUCAU